rnacentral:rRNA from 1 species
UUAAGCGACUAAGCGUACACGGUGGAUGCCCUGGCAGUCAGAGGCGAUGAAGGACGUGCUAAUCUGCGAUAAGCGUCGGUAAGGUGAUAUGAACCGUUAUAACCGGCGAUUUCCGAAUGGGGAAACCCAGUGUGAUUCGWCACACUAUCAUUAACUGAAUCCAUAGGUUAAUGAGGCGAACCGGGGGAACUGAAACAUCUAAGUACCCCGAGGAAAAGAAAUCAACCGAGAUUCCCCCAGUAGCGGCGAGCGAACGGGGAGSAGCCCAGAGCCUGAAUCAGUGUGUGUGUUAGUGGAAGCGUCUGGAAAGGCGCGCGAUACAGGGUGACAGCCCCGUACACAAAAAUGCACAUGCUGUGAGCUCGAUGAGUAGGGCGGGACACGUGGUAUCCUGUCUGAAUAUGGGGGGACCAUCCUCCAAGGCUAAAUACUCCUGACUGACCGAUAGUGAACCAGUACCGUGAGGGAAAGGCGAAAAGAACCCCGGCGAGGGGAGUGAAAAAGAACCUGAAACCGUGUACGUACAAGCAGUGGGAGCACGCUUAGGCGUGUGACUGCGUACCUUUUGUAUAAUGGGUCAGCGACUUAUAUUCUGUAGCAAGGUUAACCGAAUAGGGGAGCCGAAGGGAAACCGAGUCUUAACUGGGCGUUAAGUUGCAGGGUAUAGACCCGAAACCCGGUGAUCUAGCCAUGGGCAGGUUGAAGGUUGGGUAACACUAACUGGAGGACCGAACCGACUAAUGUUGAAAAAUUAGCGGAUGACUUGUGGCUGGGGGUGAAAGGCCAAUCAAACCGGGAGAUAGCUGGUUCUCCCCGAAAGCUAUUUAGGUAGCGCCUCGUGAAYUCAUCUCCGGGGGUAGAGCACUGUUUCGGCAAGGGGGUCAUCCCGACUUACCAACCCGAUGCAAACUGCGAAUACCGGAGAAUGUUAUCACGGGAGACACACGGCGGGUGCUAACGUCCGUCGUGAAGAGGGAAACAACCCAGACCGCCAGCUAAGGUCCCAAAGUCAUGGUUAAGUGGGAAACGAUGUGGGAAGGCCCAGACAGCCAGGAUGUUGGCUUAGAAGCAGCCAUCAUUUAAAGAAAGCGUAAUAGCUCACUGGUCGAGUCGGCCUGCGCGGAAGAUGUAACGGGGCUAAACCAUGCACCGAAGCUGCGGCAGCGACGCUKAUGCGUUGUUGGGUAGGGGAGCGUUCUGUAAGCCUGYGAAGGUGUGCUGUGAGGCAURCUGGAGGUAUCAGAAGUGCGAAUGCUGACAUAAGUAACGAUAAAGCGGGUGAAAAGCCCGCUCGCCGGAAGACCAAGGGUUCCUGUCCAACGUUAAUCGGGGCAGGGUGAGUCGACCCCUAAGGCGAGGCCGAAAGGCGUAGUCGAUGGGAAACAGGUUAAUAUUCCUGUACUUGGUGUUACUGCGAAGGGGGGACGGAGAAGGCUAUGUUGGCCGGGCGACGGUUGUCCCGGUUUAAGCGUGUAGGCUGGUUUUCCAGGCAAAUCCGGAAAAUCAAGGCUGAGRCGUGAUGACGAGGCACUACGGUGCUGAAGCAACAAAUGCCCUGCUUCCAGGAAAAGCCUCUAAGCAUCAGGUAACAUCAAAUCGUACCCCAAACCGACACAGGUGGUCAGGUAGAGAAUACCAAGGCGCUUGAGAGAACUCGGGUGAAGGAACUAGGCAAAAUGGUGCCGUAACUUCGGGAGAAGGCACGCUGAUAUGUAGGUGAAGUCCCUCGCGGAUGGAGCUGAAAUCAGUCGAAGAUACCAGCUGGCUGCAACUGUUUAUUAAAAACACAGCACUGUGCAAACACGAAAGUGGACGUAUACGGUGUGACGCCUGCCCGGUGCCGGAAGGUUAAUUGAUGGGGUUAGCCGCAAGGCGAAGCUCUUGAUCGAAGCCCCGGUAAACGGCGGCCGUAACUAUAACGGUCCUAAGGUAGCGAAAUUCCUUGUCGGGUAAGUUCCGACCUGCACGAAUGGCGUAAUGAUGGCCAGGCUGUCUCCACCCGAGACUCAGUGAAAUUGAACUCGCUGUGAAGAUGCAGUGUACCCGCGGCAAGACGGAAAGACCCCGUGAACCUUUACUAUAGCUUGACACUGAACAUUGAGCCUUGAUGUGUAGGAUAGGUGGGAGGCUUUGAAGUGUGGACGCCAGUCUGCAUGGAGCCGACCUUGAAAUACCACCCUUUAAUGUUUGAUGUUCUAACGUUGACCCGUAAUCCGGGUUGCGGACAGUGUCUGGUGGGUAGUUUGACUGGGGCGGUCUCCUCCUAAAGAGUAACGGAGGAGCACGAAGGUUGGCUAAUCCUGGUCGGACAUCAGGAGGUUAGUGCAAUGGCAUAAGCCAGCUUGACUGCGAGCGUGACGGCGCGAGCAGGUGCGAAAGCAGGUCAUAGUGAUCCGGUGGUUCUGAAUGGAAGGGCCAUCGCUCAACGGAUAAAAGGUACUCCGGGGAUAACAGGCUGAUACCGCCCAAGAGUUCAUAUCGACGGCGGUGUUUGGCACCUCGAUGUCGGCUCAUCACAUCCUGGGGCUGAAGUAGGUCCCAAGGGUAUGGCUGUUCGCCAUUUAAAGUGGUACGCGAGCUGGGUUUAGAACGUCGUGAGACAGUUCGGUCCCUAUCUGCCGUGGGCGCUGGAGAACUGAGGGGGGCUGCUCCUAGUACGAGAGGACCGGAGUGGACGCAUCACUGGUGUUCGGGUUGUCAUGCCAAUGGCACUGCCCGGUAGCUAAAUGCGGAAGAGAUAAGUGCUGAAAGCAUCUAAGCACGAAACUUGCCCCGAGAUGAGUUCUCCCUGACYCYUURAGRGUCCUGAAGGAACGUUGAAGACGACGACGUUGAUAGGCCGGGUGUGUAAGCGCAGCGAUGCGUUGAGCUAACCGGUACUAAUGAACCGUGAGGCUUAACCUU